CCUUUCUCUUUCCAUUUCCAUCCAAAUUUCAGAGGUUCCUCCAAAUUUCUGUACGCAACACCAAAUCAUACUUCCAAACUCCCAACGGCAAACCAAACCCACGGCUACGGUUAUUGAAGAUGACAACAACACCGUCCAUCAACCUCAACCCCUCGAGAAUUCUUGGACCUUCUGGUUCGAUAACCCUUCUGCCAAAUCAAAACAACCUGUUUGGGGUACUUCUUUGGCCACUGUUGAAGAGUUUUGGAGAAUUUGCCUAUGGUUAAAGACAAGGAACAAGAAAAGAAGGACAGGAAGAAGAGUGGGUGCCCUGAGAUAAAAAGGCUACAAGUUCGGUCAUGUAAAUUAUGAAGAUUCUCAUUUCAAUGUUGGUUUGCCUGUAUUUACCAUUCAUGGAAAUCAUGACGAUCCGGCUGUCGUGAUUUGGUGAACAAUUUGGGUACAAUCUCAAGUUGAAGGCUCUAGGCAAUUUAAAAGUUGAAUUGGUGUUUGAGCAGAGAUUGUAGUGUCUAUGGUUAUGAGAAAGGCAACACAUAGGAUUGCCAAGAGAUAGAAGACGUUCUUCUGAGUCUAGUUGCCAGUCUAAUGAUGGAACAACACCAUUAAGGACUAUCUAGAUGAUGAUUUAUGAACUAAGUUUAAUGUUGUUUUGCAUUUUUAGUCAUUCUAUUAAUGUUUUGGUUUUCUAAUAUUUAAACUAAUUUACUUAUUGUUUUGAUUAAAUUCAAUGUAUGGUUGUUACUUUUGAAUAUAUUA